UCUCACAUGCACCGUGGGCACUAAUUGGAAACUACCUUGUGCCUACCGGCCCCAGAGCUCCAGGCAAGUAGAGAGAAUGAACCGGACUCCUAAAGAGACC